GCUGGGUAGCUCAGUUGGUUAGAGCGUGGUGCUGGCAAUGCCAAGGUUGCAAGUUCAAUACCUGUAUGGGACAGCUGCA
rnacentral:tRNA from 1 species